rnacentral:tRNA from 1 species
UCCCUGCUAGCUCAGAUGGUAAAGAAUCCGCCUGCAAUGCAGGAGACCCAGGUUCAACUCCUGGGUUGGGAA